GGGAGGUGGAGGUGGAGGUGGAGAGGGAGAGUGGCAGGGAAUGGGAGAGGGAGAGACAGACAGGGAGAAGGAGAGAGGGGGAAAGGAGGGGAAGGGGAGAGGAAGAGAAGAAGGGGAAGAGGGAAGGGGGAGGGGAGAGUGAGAGGGGGAGGGGAAAGGGGGAGGAGGGAGUUGGGGAGAGGGAGAAAGAGAUUGAUUUUCUUUAGAAUGGUAGAAUCCCAGAAGUGUCCCACGUUCCUACCACUAAUCCUUCAAACCAUCCUACCCUCCUCAUCCCAGAAGCAUCCCAUCCUCCUGAGAAUUACCUUACUUAAACUUGGCUUUACCAAGCUACUUUCCCCUGAAAAUGAUCCUUCAGUGUGUCACUGAGGUGUCACCUUAGCUGGGGCGUCUUCCUGCCAGGCAGAGAGGCAAAAGGCAGAGUCCGAAUCCAGUCUGACUUGGAGUAAGUUCUGCGAACACCCAAGGGACUAGAAGAGAGAAGGCCUUCCACAGGAGUUUUAGGCAAGGAAGCUCAUUGGCUGAACGCUCGGCGGCUAUCUAGACACCUCAUUAGCAUGGAGAAGAACUCCAGGUGUUUAGGCUACAUGACCCAGUGCUAUGAUCCUCAUUGGGGUGUCAUGGUGUUGCAGUAAAUCUCCAAUCCCAAUAAACCCAGGCAUAAAACACAA